UUGCUGAUUAUUUCGGUAGGGUAGACACGGUGGAAUGGAUGGGGGCGCUGCUGGCGGGCGCGGGCCGGCGAUCGAGACCGCCGGCGGCUCCACGGGGAGCGGUCCCGCUCACGCGGCGUGGUAGGGUAGACAGGGGUGGGAGAUGGGGCCCCGAGGACCCAAACUCGAUAAUGAUCCUUCCGCAGGUUCACCUACGGAAA
rnacentral:misc_RNA from 1 species